rnacentral:rRNA from 1 species
AGGAUAAACGCUGGCGGCGUGCCUAAUGCAUGCAAGUCGCACGGAGCAUCACUUCGGUGGUGUUGAGUGGCGAACGGGUGAGGAACGCGUGGACAACCUACCCCGGCGUGGGGGGAUACCCGCCAGAAAUGGCGGCUAAUACCGCGUACGGUCCUAUCGCGCAGGGCGGUGGGAAGAAAGCAGUGAUGCGCGCUGGGAGGGGUCUGCGGCCGAUUAGCUAGUUGGCGGGGUAGUGGCCCACCAAGGCGAUGAUCGGUAGCUGGUCUGAGAGGAUGAUCAGCCACACGGGGGACUGAGACACGGCCCCGACUCCUACGGGAGGCAGCAGCAAGGAAUUUUCCGCAAUGGGGGCAACCCUGACGGAGCAACGCCGCGUGACGGAUGACGCCUCUUGGGGUGUAAACGUCUUUUGCCGGGGUAAGAGAACGGACGGUACCCGGCGAAUCAGGACCGGCUAACUACGCGCCAGCAGCCGC